GGCUGCCUGGUGUAGUUUGGUUUAUCACGUGCCCUUCACAUUCGGGCAAGGUCUUGAGUUCGAACCUCAAGGCGGUCA
rnacentral:tRNA from 1 species